AGGGAAUCUUGCGCAAUGGGCGAAAGCCUGACGCAGCAACGCCGCGUGGGGGAUGAAGGCCUUCGGGUUGUAAACCCCUUUCAGCAGGGACGAAAUUGACGGUACCUGCAGAAGAAGCCCCGGCCAACUACGUGCCAGCAGCCGCGGUAACACGUAGGGGGCGAGCGUUGUCCGGAUUUAUUGGGCGUAAAGAGCUCGUAGGCGGCUCGGUAAGUCGGGUGUGAAAACUUAGGGCUCAACCCUGAGACGCCACUCGAUACUGCCGUGGCUAGAGUCCGGUAGGGGAGCGUGGAAUUCCUGGUGUAGCGGUGAAAUGCGCAGAUAUCAGGAGGAACACCAGCGGCGAAGGCGGCGCUCUGGGCCGGUACUGACGCUGAGGAGCGAAAGCGUGGGGAGCAAAC
rnacentral:rRNA from 1 species